AAGUCGUAACAAGGUUUCCGUAGGUGAACCUGCGGAAGGAUCAUUAACACGUAUCCAAACGUUAACCCCCUGUGAACCUUCAAUGUGCUCGUACACUUUGUCAAAGCGAGGCAAUCCCUCAAAGAGUGUGCAUGUUGCGCGAGGCAAGUGGCCUGGCAUUCCCAAGCAGUUAAUGUCUGAAAGUGUCAUUGGCUGUGUAAGGAUGACGCAGUAACGAUCGUUGGAGGCCGACACGGCCGACGACCGGGUCACCGGGCGCAAGCCCCUUUAUCACCACUUGAUGCAUGACAGACGCGCCAGCGCUUAAUUGUGCGGCGACCAAAAACCGAACAACUGUUAACAAUGGAUAUCUUGGUUCUC
rnacentral:misc_RNA from 1 species